rnacentral:rRNA from 2 species
CAAGACAACUUUACGGAGUUGACGAUUGACGGAGCGAAGCGACGUCAAAGCGUUCAUUAAAGUCGAGUUGGCUUAGGGAUACGUUCGUUGGGUAGGGGAGCGUUCUGUAAGCCUGUGAAGGUGUGUCGUGAGGCAUGCUGGAGGUAUCAGAAGUGCGAAUGCUGACAUAAGUAACGAUAAAGCGGGUGAAAAGCCCGCUCGCCGGAAGACCAAGGGUUCCUGUCCAACGUUAAUCGGGGCAGGGUGAGUCGACCCCUAAGGCGAGGCCGAAAGGCGUAGUCGAUGGGAAACGGGUUAAUAUUCCCGUACUUGGUGUUACUGCGAAGGGGGGACGGAGAAGGCUAUGUUGGCCGGGCGACGGUU